CCUACGGGUGGCAGCAGUGAGGAAUAUUGGUCAAUGGCCGGAAGGCUGAACCAGCCAUGCCGCGUGAAGGUCAGUGCCCUAUGGGCGUUAAACUUCUUUUGUGCGGGAGCAAUAAUGGUCACGUGUGGCCAGACGAGAGUACCGUACGAAUAAGCAUCGGCUAACUCCGUGCCAGCAGCCGCGGUAAUACGGGGGAUGCAAGCGUUAUCCGGAUUUAUUGGGUUUAAAGGGUGCGUAGGCUGUGAGGUAAGUCAGCGGUGAAAUGCCCCCGCUCAACGGGGUGAAGUGCCAUUGAUACUGGCUUGCGGGAAUGCGGAUGCGGUGGGAGGAAGGUGUGGUGUAGCGGUGAAAGGCAGAGAUAUCACACAGAACACCGAUUGCGAAGGAAGCUCACGAAUCCGCGAUUGACGCUGAUGCACGAAAGCGUGGGUAUCAAACAGGAUUAGAUACCCCAGUAGUC
rnacentral:rRNA from 1 species